UAUUGGUACGGGACCUUGAGUUUGAUGUCCCGUACCAAUGUCCUUUUUACCUGAGCCCUUUUUGCAGGCUCACCUGCAAAAAGCCCAGUCCCUGGAAUGUGGGUCCAUUCUGGAUUAUCAAAUAAAUCGGGUGAUUUAUGUCCUACCUCCUGAGUACCGUGUCUCACCCACCUUCCACGUCUCACUGCUGAAGCCCGCCAUUGGACCUCUGGUAGGGGAUCUGAGCCCUCUGAUGUCGGCAUGCCUCCCUUGAUGGUGCAUGGUGAGGCAGCCUAUCAUGUCAGGGAGAUCCUAGAUUCCCGGCACCAGGGGGGUUGGCUUCAAUAUCUGGUGGAUUGGAAGGGGUACGGCCCAGAGGAACGUUACUGGAUUGCCACUGACGACCCCUUCCUGAUCAGCCAUUUCCACCAAUCCCACCCGGACACACUCUAACAAAUGAUUCAUGGGGUUAGUAUGUAGAACUUAAAAAAAACAAAAUUUUAAGCACAAAUAUUUAAGUUUGCUCGAUAAAGUUAUAAUAGUAAGUUGUUAACUUAUUUAAAGAAGUGAGUUGAACUCAAAUUGUAUUAAAGUGGUCAGGACUUAAUAUAUUGCACAUUUUUAACCAUCAAUUUUGUGUUCACUCAACAACAACAAAAUAUUAAGUUGGUGAAACUUGAUUUUAUGUUGAGCAUUCUUAAAAAGCUAGUGCAACAACACCGGAAAGACAGGCCACGCCUUCGAGGAGAAACGGAGCAAGCACGAAGCAGCUCAAUGAAGGACUGUCCUCUCUGAUUAAUGAAGGAUUUAAACGCAUCACCACUAUGGGGGCAACAUCCAUGACAAAAGUAGACCAUUACUCUUCAAAAAUAAUGUCCCUGGUUUCCACAAGAGGAGGAGCCACAAAAAUGGACUUUCAGCAUAUUAAGACUAUGGUGGAAGAGGAUCAUUCCAUUGAAAGGAAAAGGGGGGCUGCUAUUCAUUCCUUGGUUGUCUACCUAAAUGAAAAGGAAGAAGAUCUUUUCAAAGAACUGGUGGAUGAAGAUGCUGAUAUCACCAGGGAAGUCUUGAAAAUUUCCAUCGCAAGAGGGAUUACACCAAUUCAUGCAGGAGUGGUGAUCGAGGAAACAGAAGUCCUUGGAGACCUGGAUGUACCCAGAGCCUGUGCCUUGCUUAUUGGACUGAUAUAUGCCCUGAACAUCAGUAAAUCAAAAAGUCUAAAGAACACCUUGCAGGUCUUUCAGAAAGUUUUCUUUGAGCUUAAUGCCCUGAAAGGGUGAAGAACUACUUGGCAGUAAGUGUUCUAAAACAGUGGUGUCAAACUUCAUGCCCGGAGGGCCGACGUCCUGCUGGUUUUCCAGAUCUUUCUGCAUCAUUUUCACCUAGUCUGGUGUGUCCAGCAAGAAUGAGAAAAAAAGAGGACAUUUGGAGGAAGUGAGAGCCUCAGUUUCUUUGUUUCCACCAACAUCCUCUUUUCUGCCUCUGAUUGGCUGAACACACGUGACCAGGUGAUUAAAAGGAAGUACAACAAGGAAACCUGGAAAACCAGCAGCGCAUCAGCCCUUUUGCCUGGAAUAUUUACACCUGUGCUUUGAAAUCUGUUAUUGUGCUGCUAAUUUUUUGUUGCAGAUGUGCAUGUAGCAGCUACACCUUUAAGCAAUUUCAAUUGUAAGCCUAACAAAAAUGUUUUAUGUUUGACUUUUGAAGGUUUUAUUUGUCACAGAAGUAUUUCUUUUACUUUGUACAAAAUGCAGGAGAUUAAAUAUUGUUAGUCACUACCAAUCUUUACAUUCUUUUGAAUCUUUAAUUUUUGAGAAGCAACGAGAAAUGAGUAUUAAAGGCGGAUUAUCGUUUCUUAAUUUUGUGAAGUAUUGGAUGGUGUAUGUUUGAAAAAUACUGUUUCUUUUCAUAAUAAACAAUUGAAUCAAAAACGAGAAUGGUGGAGUUGUCUCAACUGAUUGAAUUAAGUUUAGAAUGCUGAAAGAAUUAAGGUAACAAUUUGCAUGGACUUUUUUGAGUAAAAGUAAAAGAAAACAAAUAAGUUGAAUUAGCUUAAAUUCAAUAACUUGCUAACUUAAAUUCACCAGAAGCUUUUACUUAAAAAUAAAAAAUAAUUUGUGUUUGUGGGACAAAAUAAAAUUGAGUUAAUCAAACUCAAAAAGUCAAAUUUAAUUUACUCAAUACUGACUAGAGUUGGGAUAACUCAAAAAGAUCAAUGCAAAUUGUUACCUCAAUUUUUUUAAGUUGGCCCAGUGUAUUUUUCUUUAGAGUGCAGACCAGCACCCCAACCUCGUGGUCUACCUCAGCGUCGGAGGGCCCCUUCGCUUCCGGAGCGCUUGCAUGAGGGGGGCUCCAUUAGAAGUCAGAGCUCUGUCUCCCCCUCUGGUCACCGGCGGGAACCGUCUCCAGAGUACUGAAUGCACUACAUCUCCCAGCAGCCCCAGCACACAGUUCCAGGAUACCACACACCUGACUCUCGUUUGCAAUCCGUCACUGUCUACCUAAGCACCGGACUGAGCCUCUCUCAGUACGAAGUAUUGUUUGUGCCCCUCUCCUGCAUUACUGAGCGUUAUAUCUGGACCGGAUCUUCUGAUUCCUGACUCUGUUUUGUCUCUCCCUCUCCCCUCAGUUUUCCUCCCGCCUGCCACGAUUCUCGCCUGGAUCCUGACUACUCCUGUUUCUUCUCUGACGCUCUCAUGCUCGUCAUCAACCCCUGCCUGCCCGACCCUGAUUAAUCUUUGUGGACUUUUAGCUGAGCUAAUAAACCUGCUGCAUCUGGAUCCAGCCGUCCGUCCGUUCUUGUGACAGUCGAGCUGAUGAGCUGGAAAACCACAUCAAUGAGGAAUCGCAUUAAACAUUUCUCCAGACAAGUUAAUGUUCAUUGAAUCAAUACUGCACUUUAAAAUGUUCACAUUAGACUUGUUUUAUUUAAGAGUUGGUUUUUAGUGGCUCCAUGUUUACCAUUUUGAGUUUUAAAGCUCUAUUAACAAAAUUGAUGUUGACAUUUUCAAAAGCUGUUCUUUAGAAUUGUUUGUUUGCCGGUGAAGAAGCAUAAUGCUGACGUGAGCAUCGCAUGUUAUUAGAAUGUAUGUAUGUGAGAGUGAGUGAGAGUUUAGGUCUGUGAGUGGUUCAGAAGCCUCAGCGUCGGAUGGCACAUAUUUCAUUUCCACUUGAUGAUCUGGAAGAAAUCCAAGAAUCUGGAAAACUUCACUGUUCAGUAGCAGGAAUUUCUGUCUGAGUCUCACUGCUGGAAGUUUGGAUGAAGAUGAUCUGGAUCCAUGUUAGGUCAGAGGAUCAGAUCCAAUCAGAAUGAACCAAAAUGGACUAGGAAUUGGAUCAUCAAUGACAAAUAAUAUGAAUCGAAUCUUUGUUAAAAUAAUCAUUACAGCCCUAAAGUUUACACAGAGGACCUAAUUCUGAAAGUGUAACACAACCAUGACAAAAAUGUAAUUUUCCUCUACAUCCCUGAAUGUAUUUUAAAUACGAGUUUCCCAGAGUUCGAAAUAAAUCAUUUGAGGA